AAACCGUUCAGGGGUAAACCUGAGAAACCCGAAAGUUCGAAAGGAGAGAUUCACCGCGACUCGUGCGUCGGCGCGAACGGUUACGGACGUCGAUCGGAUUUCGGUUCGAUUGUGCGCCGUGACUAUUCCGCUGUAGGCGUGCGAUCGUGUGCACUUCUCUCCCGGUAGGACGUCGCGACCCGUUGGGUGUCGGUCUACGAUCGAAGGUGGAGUCCGUGUGGACGAUUCACGUCGUCCUCGCGAACCCUUCGCAUCCGGCCGGCUCGCUCGACGGUAGUAGAAGAAGGCGCGGGGCCGCGACUAGUUCGCGUCCGGUCCGUCGCAAGCGUGUUCGGUAAUUCGGUGCUCGGUGGCCUCGCGUCCCCGGUCCCGGAUCCGAGCUACUGUUGGCGACGGUUUUCUCGGACAGACUCCGUAUACACGCCUGUCUGCGACGCUAUUGCUUUGGGUACUUUCAGGACCCGUCUUGAAACACGGACCAAGGAGUCUAGCAUGCACGCGAGUCUUAGGGACUCUUAAACGAAACCUGAAGGCAAAAUGAAAGUGAAGGUCCGCCUUGCGCGCGACCUAGGGAAGAUGGGAAGUCCGUUCACGCGGACGACCCCGCAUUCCCGGGGCGUCUCGAUCUCAUUGCGAGAUGAGGCGCACCCAGAGCGUACACGCU
rnacentral:rRNA from 1 species